rnacentral:misc_RNA from 1 species
AUUGUAAUGUACAUCUUCUCUGUGUUGACAGUAAGUUGGGGAUCGAGAUCAAGAGCAGUAAAAUAUUUUGGAUGCCUGAUCCAGACAGAGGACAGGGAGUGCUGCCGUUUGAACCGAUCCAUAACGAAGACGAAGAGACGCAGGAAUAAUAUGUAACAGCGGCAAGGAAAACAUGAAAGAUUAUUAUGAAAUGAAAUGAAAGACACAGACAAUUGAUGGGCAACAAAAUAAGAGAUUACAUCGUAUCCAUUAUUGAGAUGUAAAAAGAGGACUUUUCCGUUACAAAGAGUGAAAAAAGUUGUGUCCAUAAGGAAGAGGAUUAAAUGAAGGUUGAAGACACAGAGAAAUAUCUGAUAGAAAUUGUGUCAAUGAAAACGACUGAUUUCCAGUAUUUCCUGUAUAUACAAAAUGUGACACACUGGAAUAAUAUUGGAUGAGGUAAUAGACUCUCACAAAACCAACGGCCAACAAUGUUAAUGUGAUGACAAAGGGAGAAUACUCAGUGUCUGGGUUAGAACUAGUUCAGUAACAAAGGUGAUACAAGAUUUAUCUAGUCCAUUGUCUCAGAUGUGUUCAUUAUUGGGUUAAAUGAUUGUGAGAAUGCAAGUGUUUUGUGAUUUUAUUUUGUCACCAGAAAUGUUUAGUGCAUACUUCGGCUUUAAUUCAAUUCAAAAGAAAAGUGAUUGUAUGGUAUAAAAGGUUUUGAGCAGAAGAAUUGAUGUUGUAAAUUGUUACAUAAUCGUGUCUGUCUUAUACAAAUGUAUUUUAAAAUUUCAGGCUGUCAAAGAAUUUAUUAGAUUUUGAUGGCAACAAAGUUUUCAUUAGAUACAUAUAAGAAGGUAUGGAAAUGCUUUUCAAAAAAUUUUUCUCGGAGGUAUCUGAUGUAUUCAACUCUUUUGUCCAGUGUAGGGAAUGUGUUCUCUUAUUUAAAGUUGAUCGAUGAAGAGAUUGCUUUAGAGGCUUUUAUACGUAAAAAAGUUUGUACAGCUUUUGAUUUCUGGAAAAAAGAUUAUAAAUAAUUUCAUUAUGUUUUAAAAUAGAUAAUUUUGUUUCUAUUCCUACUUUUUGACUCAACAAUAGGAUAACAAAGUGCACUGUUUAACAGAGGUGGAUUUAAGUAAGUUCUCAUUUACCAUUUACCGUUUUAAAAUACGAUAUUGUAUUAUGCUGUAGACUAGUGCUUCGGUUUUGAUUUAAGCAGAUAAUCUUAUGCUGUUUUGUUUUAUGACACUUUAGUAAAGGAAUCACGUUCUGUU